CGUCACUUCCGCCAGCUGCCACCACCCUCGCCUCCCUUCUUAAAGAGGCCGCAGACUGCGGGCACUCGGGGAACGAUGUCGUCAAGGGCUCCCGGUUCCCGGGUUUAUAUGGCUUCCAUCGCCAGCCGGAUCCACCUCAACUCAGCCGUUACUUCCCGCAAGACGUCCUCUUAGAACCAGGGCAGUUUUUUGCUCCUUCACAAUAGCUCCACCGCACGGGGUUCUAUUGGUCCCUGCGUCGGUCUACAAGAGCCUUGACGACAAGGGGCUGGACUUGUCCCUGAGGAAUCCCUGAGAAGGUCAUCCAAACGGGCCUGCAGCUUGCUCAGAACCUUGCCACUGUCCGUUUGUUGAAACUCUGGGGCGAAGGCACUGUGGCCUGGUGGAGGUGGCGCCAGCUGCUGCUGGACCUCCUCAGUCUCCUGGUCGAUGGCGCGAGUGAAGGCAGCUAUCUGCAGCAGCGGCCACAGAGGUUGAGGCAGCAGAAGCAGGGCAUCAUGGAGCACCCACAGUUUGGAGUUGGCCCAGCUAUCUCCUCCCUUCGCCUACACCCCUUCCCCUGGGCACUCACGUGGGCUCGCGAGCCAUCUUCUGCUGAUGGAUCUGCUCCACCCUGCCUUUGUCCCCGCUGGUCUGGCUGAAGUAGUCCCAGAAGCCUUUCCGUGCCUGGAUGGCCGAAAACGCUGCGGAGAGGGACUAGGAACUGAGGUUGAGGAGAUCAAGUGGCCUGUCCAUCAUCACACACUAAGAGUUGCAACCAGAAUCAGAACCCAGGUGCUUGGCUCUGGUGGUUCGAGAGAGCAGAGUAUGACCAAGUCACGAAGGGGCUUGUGCAAGCAGUCACUGAAAGGUUAGAGUCAGCCAGCAUGAGACGGAAGAGGAGAGGCCAUUAUGUUUCAAUGCUGGUUGCAGACAGAAGCAUGGACAGGCUUGGAGUUUAAAGCAGCUUCUGGAUGACCUUCCUAGGAAUCACAUGCAUUGAUAUUACAGGCAUAAUAAGGCGAGCUUCCCAUUUGUAGCCACUUACCAAUGAGCGUUUGAGAGUCACUCCUUCUGAACUGCAAACCGAAAUGGUCAUUCCU